CGAUUCCCGGUUAGGGAAGGAGGCUUUGUUUCUUACUAGGUUUGACAUUUUCUAACCGCUAUCAUUCGUUUUUUCCACGACUGGAGGAGACAUGGGGUUGACUGUUUACCGAGAAUACAUUCCAGAAAGUGGAACAGGUCUGUUUUCCUGGAAUCUUGGGGUGAAAUAUCAACUAUAUUACUAAACUACAUUGCAUGAUAAAAAAAAGACUCCUGAUUGACACCUGGACUUGGAAAAAUAAGCAUCUGGCGAGAAGGGUCAACUGAGAGGGAGGAAGAAGGCCAGUUGUUGUGCCAGAGUGAAAAAGAGUUCUGGAGCAUCUCAAACCAGAAAUUAAAUGCUCCAGCCCAGAAGAGACACGCAACACUCCCACUUCCAACUCACUGGUCAGAAGUGGUUACAUAGCUCCACCCAAACACAAAGAGGAUGUAAGUAAGCUAAGGCAAGAAGCUGGAAAUAUUGUGAGAACAGCAUAAAUGCCAUCACAAAGAGUGAUAUGCAAAAAGCAUGCUGGGAAAUAUCAACUAACUUCAAAGAGCAGUCUUCCUGCAUUAUCACCAUCCUCAGUAAAGAGGUUGAUCUCAUUCAUCCAUGACUCAGUCUGUUUCUCAGCUGCAGUCUGCAUGAUUUCAAAAAAACCUGAAAAGCCCUUUUACUUCUAACAGAUCAACACUAUAUCUUCAAGUAAAAGGAAUGUAUUGAAGCUCCACACUUACUGGCUAGAACCGGGCUCCCGGAUGGACAGACACGGCGGUAGCUCUCGGAUCCGUCGCGGCGGCGGCGUUGUGCGUAUCCCACGGAAGGCCACUGGCGCCACCCUGUGGUCUCCUGUGCACAUUGCGACCUUAGCUCUCCACAGAAUCUGCAACCGCCAGUGCGCGCGGGCCCAGGGGCGCGGAGACUGGCCGGGUGCACGCUUUUUGCAACCUCCCCCCAAAGCCCCGUGAGAAAUACUUGCUUCCUCAGAGCCGGCAGGGGCAAGAAAUUAGCUCUGGUCAGGUCGGCGGCAGAGGCGGCGGGCGGGUAGAGGAGAGAAAGGGGUUGUGAGUGUCAGAUUUGCCCCGGUACCCAAAAAAGCACCCAACUCGGGGGCUGCUCCUUCAUAUCCGACGUAACUGUUUGCUUGGGCCGGCAGGUGUGAGAACCCGACUCCCGAAUGAGCUGGGUGGGCACCUGCAGCGGAACCGCGCAGCUGAAAAACCCAUUCGUAGGUCAGGGGGGAUGGAGGGAGGGCUCGAUCCAGCUCACGGACCUGGCGGCGGCGCCACCCCACGGACGCCUGUUGCGGUUGCAGCCUCGGCUGCCGCCUAGCGCAGGUGCUGCCGGGAGGCAAGGGGCGCGCGGGAGUUUGCGGCUGGCGGUGGCCUCCGCGGAGGCCUGGUUAAGGGGGCCACCGGAAGGGGAGGGUCGCUGGCUGUCUGGGCGAGACCUCAAGAAUAAAGGCGGCUGGAGGCGGUGGUAGAAGCAGGGAGGGAGCAGGUGGAGAGUACGAGACGGCUGUUCAGUCAAGCCCUGAUGAAUUCCUUGCUGGUUCCACCGCCAUCAAGAGCCAGGAAGGGACCCCGGGCCGGCAGAACCUGCAGGCCUGUGGGCAGGGAGCCCCCAGGCUCUUCACGGGCUGCUCUGAAAUGCAUUUGGGAACCAUGGAGCUUCUCCCUCAAGGGUCCAAGCCCUGUCCUAUCCCGGAAGACAAGUUUCCAGGACUGAGAACAAGGGCCCAGAGGGGAUUGAUGCAGCUGGCUGGGAGAGAGGAGGAAGGUGGCGUUUUCCUUCCUUCGCCCUCAGACUCAGCAGGGACAACACCCAGGGCCUGUUGGACCUAUCGAGACUUCAUCUUAGAAGUUUAGAGCUUCAUCUGAGAAGCUCCUGGGCCCAUCCUGUAAUCCCCAGGUCUGUUCCAGACCUAAGCACAACUCUCCAGAGUAGACAGUUACGGAGCUGAACAGGCAACUGGGUGUGAGGAGAGUGGUCGUUUCUCACCUUCCAGGCUCUGUAGGAUGAGCCCUAAACUCAUUUGGGGACCACAGGAGCUUCUACAAGAGUCCAGGCCCAUUUCAGAACACUCAGAAGUUUCCUAGCCUGAGAAGGAAUCACCAAAGUGGAUCGACUGGUUUUGGGAAAACAGGAAGAGUUGGUUCCAUUCUGGGUCUUUCCUGGCUCCCAAACUCAGCCGGGAGCAAAACCAGUGCCUACUGGAUUUAGAA